rnacentral:misc_RNA from 1 species
GGUUAUAAUUUCCAGUGCUCUCUAUCUUGUCCUCUGGCACAAGAUUCCCAUUUUGCAGGCUUACAAGGUAAACUUGUUUAGCAAAAGUUUUCCAAAACGCUAAAGAUUAUCCACAAGCCUGAAUCUUUACAGGUUACAGGAGUGAAGCAAUAUAUCCAAUUAUUGCAAUGGCGGGUGUAAAUUUGAGAAGUCCUGAGGUGUUAUCAAUUCCUCAGCAAGAGAAUACAAAACACUAGCACAAAAGAUUUGAGUAGAAACCUUAUUUCCCAAAUUGAUUAACCUUGAAUCCAGCUUUCAUUAUUUUAAGCUUCAACAUAUGUUUUAGGUUAUAUAUGAGAAACAAAGGCUACAUUAUCAAAGAAGUUAAAAAGUUG